rnacentral:rRNA from 1 species
UGGGAACGUACCCUUCGGUUCGGAAUAACUCAGGGAAACUUGAGCUAAUACCGGAUACGCCCUUACGGGGAAAGAUUUAUCGCCAAAGGAUCGGCCCGCGUCUGAUUAGCUAGUUGGUAGGGUAAUGGCCUACCAAGGCUACGAUCAGUAGCUGGUCUGAGAGGAUGAUCAGCCACAUUGGGACUGAGACACGGCCCAAACUCCUACGGGAGGCAG